CUCUAUAUUCAGUGCAGUGUGUCUGAUUGUAGAGGUGAAUGUGAAGAGCUGCUGGAUUCAGUGCAGCAGGAUGAAGGAGAGCAGAGAACAGCAGAGGAACAGGAAGCUCUGAGUGAUGCUCUGAACACCGUUACACAGUGAAAAGAAUGAACAGAAGAAAAACUGAGAUUUGCAGAUCCAUCUUUGAUCAGGAGGAACCCGUCUGAGCAGAUGAGCAGUGCCUGGGGUGAUUAGAAAUGACACUUUAAAGCACACUACCCAGGAGAUCAUUUGAAACCGGUGAACUUCUGAAAAGUUCAAGGAUCCAGUAAGGGAAUGCAUUAGUAACAAGUAAUAAGUUCAAUAGCACUAAUGGAGAGAAACUGGCUCUGCACUUCUUUUUUUUUUUCCACUUCAAGCACUGCAUAGGCCUGUGUUGUAUGUCAGUUACUUUUACAAAACAGGAGGAAUUUUGAAACUUGCACAUUAGCAGCUUAGGGCUUUUUCGGUACACUGAACAGAAUGAUUUUCUUUGGAAACGCCGUUUGGUCUCCCUCC
ensembl:lncRNA